CUGCUUUUGUCUUAAUAUCUCUAUCGUGCGAGACAAUCCAUCCAAUCUCUCUCCAUCUUCAUUUCUUCUCUUCCUCAAACGAAGUCCACACACUCUGCUCACGCCAACCUUGAGAUCUUCAAUCAAGCUACUUCUCUCCACUAGUUGCUGUCCCCCGCCAGUCAACUCUCCUCACUGAAGACUGAUCGAAGCCCCGUCUACGAUUUGCUUCUCUCUCGCGCUGCCACCGAAUCCCAAAGUCCAACAUCUUCGUUCAUGCCUUGCCAACAGCCACGAAGACCUGCAGCCACGCCAACCAGCUACUUCCUCGUCCACGAAGACUCCACCGUUUGUUGCAGCUCCAGCUUUCCUCCACUUUGUUGCCACGAAGACUUCCACUACCGCAACCUUGGUCAGCUUCAUCAAGUUGUUGACCCUUGAAGCCACGAUCCACCGAGAAGCCAACAAAUUGAACCGCCAGCAGUUGCAACUCCUUUCAUCCGCGCGUCCCUCAGCCUCCGCGCAUCCGACUUGCUCCGUGGGUCAAACUCCAGCAACAAGCUUCGGUUUGUUGACCGAAGACCCCACGACGCCAACGAAGAAGCCCAGCAACCUUCUUCUUCAGCCACGCGGCCAAGCUGCAGCUUCCACGGUCAACUCCAGCAAGAACCGUCCCACUUUGUUGAUCUCGUGAAGCUGCCACGUCGGUGCUAAUGCACUCCAUGAAGACCCCAAGCUGCUCCCUCGUUCGCGCCUUCUGCCCACGAAGACCCAAGUUCCACGCAGCUUCAAUUUUCGUGAAACCUUGCUGACCGAAGACCAAGGCCAGCGAAGCAGCGUCCACGAGCAGCUUCCGUCUUCAGUCUUCUCCAGCGGCAUGCCCUCAGCCUUCACGAAAUUGUCGAGGCCCAUCUCUGCCUUGUGCGGCCCGUCUUCAUCAGCCCAGCAGCUCAUUUGAAGCCACCGAACAGCCCAGCUCAGCAGCCCAUGUGAUCUUCAGUCCAACAAACUAGCUGAAGACAAGCCCUGCAGCAAGCCCAGCCCGUGAGCUUCAGUCCUUUGGGCCACCGAAUUCAGCACAAGACCAGCAAGCCCAGUUCAGCUAGCGCAGUUAGUUCAGUCCAGAAAUUCAGCAGGUCCAGCCCAUUCCAGUGCAAGAACAAAUCUCAAUUGGGCUGAGAUUUGUUGGGCCCAAGUCCAAAGCCCGGUCCAAGUCUGCCGGUGUCGUCGAAAGUCCGAUUUCGGCCACCGUCGCGUUGCCGUCGCGGUGAUUUGAUCCCCGCUUUUGUCAAGACCCUGAGGAGAAUCUAAGGAAGAGGAACCUGAAGAGGAGAAAGACUUUUGAAGAAGAAGAAGAUCCAGAGAGGGAUCUUGAAUAUAACCGGAUGUGGACUGAGAUCCAUCCUUUUUGUAAACCCUAUCUUAGUAUAGAUAGGUGUGAGACAAGUAUGUUGUGAAUAGUAUUGUAAAUAUACUAUGAGUUGUGCUGUUAAUGAAAGUGUGGUUGUGAAUUUCAAUAUGAAAAA